rnacentral:tRNA from 1 species
AUUUAAAUAGCUUAUACAGAGCGUGAUAUUGAAGAUAUCAAUGAAACAAAUAAUUGUUUUUAAAUA